rnacentral:rRNA from 1 species
GACGAACCGUGCGAACGUUGUUCGGAUUCACUGGGCUUAAAGGGCGCGUAGGCGGCUUGCCAAGUCAGGGGUGAAAUCUUCGGCUCAACCGGAAAAGUGCCUUUGAUACUGGCGAGCUAGAGGGAGGUAGGGGUGCGUGGAACUUCUGGUGGAGCGGUGAAAUUCGUAGAUAUUGGGAAGAACACCGGUGGCGAAGGCGGCCAUCUGGACCGUAUCUGACGCUGAGGCGCGAAAGCGUGGGGAGCAA